GAAGGAUAAAGGUUAGCAAGGCUGGUGCAGGAACCUCUGAAGGGCUGGGGCAAGAGGUGGGGCACCACUGCAGAAGGCCUCGUACACCACAUUAUAGGGUUUGGGCUUUUCUGUCAGAGGGAAGGGGAACCAUGAAAGAGAUUUAAGCAAACUUGUUACUUGCAUAAAUUUUAGUUUUACAAAGUCUUUAGCCAUUCUGGGAAAGUUAUGACAUUUUUUUGCCAUUCUACAUCAAAGAGCUUAUUUCCUCCUGGGGGGACUCCACUCACACAAAGACUUUUACCUGCCACCAAAUUUCUAGCCCAUAGUGGCCCUGUGAUUGUAGUCCCAGGGCUUUCUAGCCAUUCGUGGAAAGACCUUUCUUAAGAUUGUCUGAGGACUUAGGCUAGGAGACUCUCCAGGCACAGGAAGAGGUAUGGGGAAGAGGGGUGACUUGUGGAGAUGGGAGGGCACCUUACUGCUCGCAGGCUUCUCAGUGACAAGGACCACUGCUGUGGAAUUGGCAGUGGAGAGGUACAAGAGUCCAGCCCAGCAAGCCAAGUUCUCCUGAGGAUGUGGUGUCAGGAAUGUGGCUCCUGGGGCUCCCGCUCCAUUUUAAGAAAAGGUGGGAAGCAAGUAAGAAGAGUGGGCAGGUCCUCUAAUGCUUCCCAAUCUGUCAGGAAAUUCCUGCAAAAGGAGCAUGUCCUGAAAAUCAGGAUUCCAAACCUAAAGUUCAUGUUUCUCCUAGAAUCUCUAGGCAUUCAGGAGCCCCCUGAGAUUAUGCCUAAGUAUAUUUUCUAGGGACAUGAUUCCUAAUUUUCAUUUCAGUUUUAAAGAUGCCAAUGAUUUUAAAAGCUUAAGAGAUACUGCCCCACAUGUUUCACAGAGAGAUUAGCCCAAUAGAUGCGCAGGCCAUCUGAGAAAUACCUUCACACAGCUCCCCCUAAAAAGAGGCAGGGAUACGCCCCGCUUUGGAGACCCCUUCCAGGCACUGGUGCUCAGGACUCAUUUCCUUCUGCAGUCAUGUGGGGCCGCUGCUAAUGAGCCUUGUGUUGGUGUGUCCCUAGCUAAAGACCCUCCUGAACCAGCCAGAGCCUCAAGGACAAAUGCUUCUUGCUAAGGAUGUAAUAGGUACAAAUUCCCUGAGUUAGAGGGGAAGUCUCUCUAGGGACAACAUCUAGGGAUGUUGGGGGGACCCCCUUUGACACCAGUCUCAGCCUUAGAGAGGAAGAUGGGGACAGAAUUCUUUCUUGCAGUUGCAACCCAUGAAUGAAGUCAGCUUUUUGUUGCCAGUUCAUCUGAGAUCCCUAUGACCUUUUGUUAGAUUUUAGUCAGGUGAGGCACAUAGGUACUCCUCGUUCCCCAACCUGCUGAGAACCUCAGCCCACAUCCCUAAGGGAGGCUGGCAGUUCCUCCUCUCCUCUUACUUCCCUGCCCUGAACAACCCCAAGAAGCUGGAGAGAAGGGACACCAUCAGGCCAAAACCAGACAGGAGGCUGAGAUGUCCUGUCCUAAUAAAUAGAAGGACCACUAAGGGGAGGAGAAUGAGGCCUCCUGGAGCUAUCUACCAGAAGGAAAGCUGAAAGUAGAGAUUAUUGGGAUCUAGAGUGCUCAAAUAACAUGCCCCAAAUCACAUGGUUAGUAGCAGAGCUGGAACUAGAAGCCAGGCCUCUGUUUAUCAGUGUGGUCUUGCCUCCUCUUCACAACACCGAAAAUCAAACCUGCUGGAGGGUGAGAGGGCAAGAGAGUGUUUAGGGAGAAGAAGGCUCUGUUCCACUUUCAGGGUCAUUACAGUUCUAGGGCAGGGUGGACAACAAAAUCCCCCCGGGGUCACUUCCCGUAAAAGGGCCCCCAGUACCAGCAUUGUCAAGUCUUCUUUCCAGGAAGCUAAGGCCUGAAGUGCUGAACCCUUUACUGGCAUCUGCAACAUAGCCAGGAAAUAGGGUGCUUAUGUGACCCAGGAUGUCACGUGAACAGAUAGCAGUGGGAGAGCCAAAGCUCUCUGGAAACAAUGUUAUGGGCCCUAGAGAAAUGACAGAAAAGAACCUUUCCAACGUUCGAGCAGGGAGGUAUCCUGACAAAACCAUCGGCCUGAUUCUUGGUGGGUGCUGAGACAGAGGGAAGCCAGCUGAGAUUCCCAGAGUGUUGAAGGCAGGGGACUGCAGCCAUGAUAAGGCAGGUUUCUGAGAGCUGGACUCCGGGUAGACAUUAUUCCAAAGAACGUGAAGGAUUCGGUUUUAUUCAUUUCAGCUUGAGACUAGGAUGAGUAAAUUUCUUACUUAAAGUUAAAUUUCUUUCUCUUCCAAAGAAUUCUCAAGAUAAAGGUAUGUAUGAAGAAGUAUCCUUACAAGGACUAUAGCUUUUAUUUUUCCUUAAUACACAAGGCAGCUGGGAGAAGGCACUGAAAGAGCACGGCCUUCAACUCGGUGACCAUUCUUUGAGCUCCCUACUCUUUCCCAUCUUAGGGAUAGAGGAGUUAGGUGGUGAUGGUGACAGUGGUGGUUGUCUCCUUCACAUGUGCUCCAGAUCAGGAAAUCAUCUCUAGCUAUUAACCUGCUGACGUGAGCACACAGUACGAAUUUCAUUUUCCAACCAUGUGUGAAAAUGUCCCAACUUAGGACAGAAAACCAAAAGUAGAAGCAAAAGGCAGGGUGUAUCAAGAUGGACAUUUAUCCUAAUACCACCUCCAACAGUGCCUCUCAAAUUUUAAAGUGAAGCCAAUGUGCUGAUCCUCAGACCAUGCUAAAAAGGACCUGGAAAAACAUUUGGCCUUUCAGGCUGUUAGAUGAUGGUGCAAACUUUAAUGCUGUAUAUAGACAUAUACCUCUUCUUAAAUACAACCAUCAGGAAUGGGAGUUUCCAUCUAGCUCAGUAGUCUCAACCUUGGUACUCAUUGGAAUUAGUGGGAAGCUUUUAAAGAAUACUGAUAAAUGGGUCCCACCCCCAAAGAUUCUGCUGUAAUUGGUCCAGGUCACCCUAGGCCUUGGGAAGUUUAAACACUCGUAGGGGUUUCUAAUGUGCAGCUGUAGUGGAGAACCCCUGAUCUGGCCAAAUAAAGUGAUCCACUUAAACCUGUCAUUUAAAGCUUAACUAUUAUUUCUCCUAAUAGCUUUUCUCACAUCACAGCACUAACUUUAAUUGAGGCCAAUCAGAUUUUACAUUUAAACGUGCAGCAAACCAGUUGUUAUAUUUUUUUAAGUGAAGGGUUAUCCUUCCUUAAACUUCCAAAACAUGCUGUACUUCGAUUUUUCUUAGUGACAUGGCAAAUUUAUUAAACAUUUUCCCCCACACUGUUGACAUGGCUCAGUUUUAUUGAUUUAUAAAAUUGCUACAAUACUUUAAACAAGCAGAA
ensembl:lncRNA